CAGUGCGGAUCAGUGCGGACCGUUCGACCAAAUGAAGAAAGGCUGGUUUAAUAACACAGCCACACAAAAAAAACGACUUUUGGGUCCAGAGGUCAGACCAUGUUCGUCAUACGUUUUUUGGGUCGCUGAAACGAAAUCCCAUCAACUAAGGAUUUUUCAUAAUCUCAAAAACAGACCGAUAUUAUGAAAAAUUAAACUAUACAUUCCAACGCUAAGUCCAAUUAACCAAAUCCCAUAAAGGUUUAACCCAAUGAUUUUUUAGAUUACAUACAUCAUAUUCCAGUGAAAAUUAAUCUACGCGUCUUAAGUGUGUGUUAAUAUUUCGUUACGAUAAAUUAUAUAUCUACAGUGAUGGAAUCAGACGUAUGAAAACCCAACAAAUUUGCAGAUCUCGUUAACGAUUCCCACCUGUAAGUAAACACAAGUGACGCCUCGAGCUCUAGUAAACGAAAUUUUAUUUAUAUACUCUCGUUCGAGAAAGAUUUCCGAGUCGAAGUCAGUCGCUGGAAAGUAGCGAGACGCGGAUGAUAUCGCUCGUUUGCUGCAGAAAUCGUGGAUAUUUCCACAGUGUGAAUUCAACGUCCAACACCCAUCAUGAACCUGCCGCUGAUAAUCAUCGGCAUUUGCUGCAUUCUCUUGACCCCUGAUCUCAUCAGCGUAUCGCACCAACGUGGAGGAGGUGGUGGUCAUGGUGGUGGUCAUGGCGGUGGUCAUGGCGGUGGUCAUGGCUUUGGCCAUGGUGGUCGAGGUCGAGGAGGAGGUUUCCGCAGGGGUGGCGGAUUCGGAGGAUUGGGAUACGGUUACGGUUUUGGAUACCCACGUUACUGUUAUCCAUAUUGUUUCUUCUUCUGAAUGGACCGCGAUUUACUGAUAAACUAUUUUACCAAUAUUGGAGUGUAUUCCUCCACCUGAAAGCCGAUUUUGACAUACCUAUGU